rnacentral:rRNA from 1 species
ACGCUGGCGGCGUGCCUAAUACAUGCAAGUAGAACGCUGAAGAGAGGAGCUUGCUCUUCUUGGAUGAGUUGCGAACGGGUGAGUAACGCGUAGGUAACCUGCCUUGUAGCGGGGGAUAACUAUUGGAAACGAUAGCCAAUACCGCAUAACAAUGGAUGACCCAUGUCAUUUAUUUGAAAGGGGCAAAUGCUCCACUACAAGAUGGACCUGCGUUGUAUUAGCUAGUAGGUGAGGUAACGGCUCACCUAGGCGACGAUACAUAGCCGACCUGAGAGGGUGAUCGGCCACACUGGGACUGAGACACGGCCCAGACUCCUACGGGAGGCAGCAGUAGGGAAUCUUCGGCAAUGGGGGCAACCCUGACCGAGCAACGCCGCGUGAGUGAAGAAGGUUUUCGGAUCGUAAAGCUCUGUUGUAAGUCAAGAACGAGUGUGAGAGUGGAAAGUUCACACUGUGACGGUAGCUUACCAGAAAGGGACGGCUAACUACGUGCCAGCAGCCGCGGUAAUACGUAGGUCCCGAGCGUUGUCCGGAUUUAUUGGGCGUAAAGCGAGCGCAGGCGGUUUGAUAAGUCUGAAGUUAAAGGCUGUGGCUCAACCAUAGUUCGCUUUGGAAACUGUCAAACUUGAGUGCAGAAGGGGAGAGUGGAAUUCCAUGUGUAGCGGUGAAAUGCGUAGAUAUAUGGAGGAACACCGGUGGCGAAAGCGGCUCUCUGGUCUGUAACUGACGCUGAGGCUCGAAAGCGUGGGGAGCGAACAGGAUUAGAUACCCUGGUAGUCCACGCCGUAAACGAUGAGUGCUAGGUGUUGGAUCCUUUCCGGGAUUCAGUGCCGCAGCUAACGCAUUAAGCACUCCGCCUGGGGAGUACGACCGCAAGGUUGAAACUCAAAGGAAUUGACGGGGGCCCGCA